CUGGGUUCAGAACGUCGUGAGACAGUUCGGUCCCUAUCCGUCGUGGGCGUUGGAAGUUUGAGAGGAGCUGUCCUUAGUACGAGAGGACCGGGAUGGACAUACCGCUGGUGUACCAGUUGUUCCGCCAGGAGCAUCGCUGGGUAGCUACGUGUGGAAGGGAUAAGUGCUGAAAGCAUCUAAGCAUGAAGCCCCCCUCAAGAUGAGACUUCCCAUCUAUUCGAUAGAGUAAGAUCCCUCAGAGACGAUGAGGUAGAUAGGUUCGAGGUAGAAGCGUGGUGACAUGUGAAGCUGACGAAUACUAAUAGAUCGAGGGCUUAACUAU
rnacentral:rRNA from 1 species